UACGUAUGGUGCAAGCGUUAUCCGGAUUUACUGGGUGUAAAGGGAGCGCAGGCGGCACGGCAAGCCUGAUGUGAAAGCCCGCGGCCCAACCGCGGGACUGCAUUGGGAACUACCGGGCUGGAGUGCCGGAGAGGUAGGCAGAAUUCCUAGUGUAGCGGUGAAAUGCGUAGAUAUUAGGAGGAACACCAGUGGCGAAGGCGGCCUACUGGACGGUGACUGACGCUGAGGCUCGAAAGCGUGGGGAGCAAACAGG
rnacentral:rRNA from 1 species